UCUCCUGAAUUCAGCUGCAUUCUCAGCUGUGGAAGGAGCAGGAGAGCAGUGGGUUUUCCUCAGCAUGACUGCUGGAGGGAAGGGAAAUGCUUGCUAUUCAUUGAAUGAGGCGGAUCGGCAGAGUUCAGAUCUCUGCUUGGCCCCUGCGCCAGCCUCUUCCCUGCUGUCUGUCAAGACGGGGUCCGAACCUGCUCCAGGAUCCUGGAUUUACUUUGCAAAGUUGGAAGGACCGUCUGAAUUGGGUGUUUUCUUUUUUGCAGUGCCAGAAAGAGGCUGGAAGCCCUAUCUAAGCUCUUCGUAGAGGCAGAUUUUUUUUUUUUUUUUUUGCCGAUGAGCGAGCAAGAAAGUGGAGUGGAAGGGAAUGGAGACCGCUCAGAUGUUGCGCAACGGACAUGGGAUGGAAAGAUGCAAAAAGAUGUCCUACUUUCCCUGGAGCCCAGACAAGACAGUCAUCCCCUCACAACCGGUUUCCAGCUUUCUAGAGCACAUAUGAAUGGGAACCUAGGGGAGCUCUCUUUCUGGUGAAUAUUAUGAAAAUAUAAUGUCAUAGAGGAAAACAAAUUGGACUGUCCUGUUUUCAACCCAGCAAGGUCCAUGUCUGGCUAGCCUCCUGUUAGGUGCGAAGAAUCGGGACUACACAUAGAAUUAAAGGGCUGGGAGUCAAAACAGCAGACUUUGGCACAAUCAGUGAUGCUUUGCUCCCCCACCCUCCGACGAACUGGUAAGAGAUUUUCAACCCCAAAGACAUUAUGCAAAGUUUGCUGGUCCCAGAUGAUGGUGGGAAGCAAAACAGGCUCCGUGGAAUCCUGUUAACUUGACUUUUGGGGUUGCGGCAUGAUUAGAAAGCCUCCUGCUUUAAACGAAGUUGUAAUCCAAUGAGCUUGAACGUCGAACACCUUUGGGAAGCAGGGCAGAGUUUUCUGGGGGAAGGUGGGUCCAUUUAUUUCUCGAGCCGAUUCUUUGCCGCGCGCACAUACCCUGCAGCACACAAAUUUAUAGUGCCACCUUCCUCCUUGACUGCAAGGAUAAAUUAAGAAUUCCUGACACACAAUAUUGCUCCAAAGACGAAGGGGGAGAAAAGCUGAAAGGAAGAAAAGGAACUUGGUGUGUGACUGAGCACUGAAAGAAAAUGUAAAUUUCAGUCCCAGACUUACUUAUUAAAAGAGAGAAAAGAAUGGAACUCAAAAACCCAACUGUUUAUUCUUCUCUUAGCCCAGGCAUGGCUAUCUCUGAAGGGGUUGGACAAAGAGAGGAGAGAUUUGUCCCCAAUGUCCAUCGCUCGAGGUAGGGAUGUGGGUUCCAACCUCUUUGAUUUUUUUUUUUUUACAGUAAAAGCACCCCCUCCUCAUCUCAAAGGCCAACGUGACACCGUACAAAAGAAAAGGAAAAACCAGUUGCUUUUUUUUGUCUUUUAUUAACAGCAGCGUAUUAUGUCUCCAGCUGCUCUGGGCUGGGGCAAGAAAAUUGGUUUUGCAUUGGGGAAAAUGCUGCGGAGAGAGAAGGAAUGAUUGAGCAGUGGGCUGGCAACCCCAGCCAGACGAUGCAGAGUCCCAUCAAAAGGCGACAGACAGAAAGCCAGACGUUUAAGGAUGCUUUUAUAAAAAAAAAUUUACAUUCAUGACAUGCAAAAUGUGAUUCCCUUAUGAAGAUUGCCAUAUAGAGAUAGAUGAUAAAUAGACAGACAGACAGACAGAGACACAUAGGUAUUACAUAGAUAUAUGUAUCCCAGUGUUUUGCAUUCAAGAGAUGCAAAACAUGAUCCCUUAUGAAGAUUGCCAUAUAAUUUGGAAUAUCUAGCUAUCUGUCUGCCUGCCUGUCUAUCUUUCUGUCUG